rnacentral:misc_RNA from 1 species
GAAUACUAGGGUGCUCUCUCUCAUCAGAGAGACCCGACCUUCAUCUCCAAACACUGUGAACUUUAAAAUGAGGACUCGUGCCUCUCUUUAUCAACUCUACAAGUUAAAGAAUGUAAACAAACCAAAACAAAAAAAAACUUUCAACAACGGAUCUCUUGGCUCU